GGGAUGAGGAUGAGGCAUUAGUUACUUCAUAUCCAACAUUUGAUCUGAGGGGAUUUGUUUCCAGGUGAUUGCAUCGUUUUGCUUUUGAAUCUCU